UACAGAGGGGGCAAGCGUUGUUCGGAAUUACUGGGCGUAAAGGGCGCGUAGGCGGCCUGUUAAGUCGAACGUGAAAUCCCCGGGCUCAACCCGGGAACUGCGUCCGAUACUGGCAGGCUUGAAUCCGGGAGAGGGAUGCGGAAUUCCAGGUGUAGCGGUGAAAUGCGUAGAUAUCAGGAAGAACACCCGUGGCGAAGGCGGCUCUCUGGGACGGUACUGACGCUGAGACGCGAAAGCGUGGGGAGCGAACAGG
rnacentral:rRNA from 2 species